rnacentral:tRNA from 1 species
CCCGAUUUAGCUCAGUGGACAGAGCAACGGAUUUCUACUCCGUUUGUCGCUGGUUCGAAUCCAGCAAUCGGGA